rnacentral:rRNA from 1 species
GACGAACGCUGGCGGCGUGCUUAACACAUGCAAGUCGAACGCUGAAGCUUGGGUGCUUGCAUCUGGGUGGAUGAGUGGCGAACGGGUGAGUAAUACGUGAGUAACCUGCCCUUGACUCUGGGAUAAGCCUGGGAAACUGGGUCUAAUACUGGAUACUACAUUCUCUCGCAUGGGGGUGUGUGGAAAGGGUUUUACUGGUUUUGGAUGGGCUCACGGCCUAUCAGCUUGUUGGUGGGGUAAUGGCCUACCAAGGCGACGACGGGUAGCCGGCCUGAGAGGGUGACCGGCCACACUGGGACUGAGACACGGCCCAG